UCCCCUAGUAACUGCGAGUGAAGCGGGAAAAGCUCAAAUUUAAAAUCUGGCAGCAUUUGGCUGUCCGAGUUGUAACCUAGAGAAGUGUUGCCCGUGCUGGACCAUGUAUAAGUCUCCUGGAACGGAGCGUCGCAGAGGGUGAGAAUCCCGUGUAUGACAUGGACUGCCAGUACAGUGUGGUAUGCUCUCNAAGAGUUGAGUUGUUUGGGAAUGCAGCUCUAAAUGGGUGGUAAAUUCCAUCUAAAGCUAAAUAUUGGCGAGAGACCGAUAGCGAACAAGUACCGUGAGGGAAAGAUGAAAAGAACUUUGGAAAGAGAGUUAAACAGUACGUGAAAUUGUUGAAAGGGAAACGUUUGAAGUCAGUCNUGUUGGUCAGGGAUCAACCUGGCUAUUUUGCUAGGUGUAUUUUCUGGCNGACNGGUCAACAUCAGUUUUUGACCACUGGAGAAAGGNGGAGGGAAUGUGGCACCUUUUAAGGUGUGUUAUAGCCCNCAGUCAUAUGCAGUGGUUGGGACUGAGGAAUGCAGUGCGCC
rnacentral:rRNA from 1 species